UGGGGAAUAUUGGACAAUGGGCGAAAGCCUGAUCCAGCCAUGCCGCGUGUGUGAAGAAGGUCUUCGGAUUGUAAAGCACUUUAAGUUGGGAGGAAGGGCAUUAACCUAAUACGUUAGUGUUUUGACGUUACCGACAGAAUAAGCACCGGCUAACUCUGUGCCAGCAGCCGCGGUAAUACAGAGGGUGCAAGAGUUAAUCGGAAUUACUGGGCGUAAAGCGCGCUUAGGUGGUUUGUUAAGUUGGAUGUGAAAUCCCCGGGCUCAACCUGGGAACUGCAUUCAAAACUGACUGACUAGAGUAUGGUAGAGGGUGGUGGAAUUUCCUGUGUAGCGGUGAAAUGCGUAGAUAUAGGAAGGAACACCAGUGGCGAAGGCGACCACCUGGACUAAUACUGACACUGAGGUGCGAAAGCGUGGGGAGCAAACA
rnacentral:rRNA from 1 species